rnacentral:rRNA from 1 species
AUAAUGGGUCAGCGACUUAUAUUCUGUAGCAAGGUUAACCGAAUAGGGGAGCCGAAGGGAAACCGAGUCUUAACUGGGCGUUAAGUUGCAGGGUAUAGACCCGAAACCCGGUGAUCUAGCCAUGGGCAGGUUGAAGGUUGGGUAACACUAACUGGAGGACCGAACCGACUAAUGUUGAAAAAUUAGCGGAUGACUUGUGGCUGGGGGUGAAAGGCCAAUCAAACCGGGAGAUAGCUGGUUCUCCCCGAAAGCUAUUUAGGUAGCGCCUCGUGAAUUCAUCUCCGGAGGUAGAGCACUGUUUCGGCAAGGGGGUCAUCCCGACUUACCAACCCGAUGCAAACUGCGAAUACCGGAGAAUGUUAUCACGGGAGACACACGGCGGGUGCUAACGUCCGUCGUGAAGAGGGAAACAACCCAGACCGCCAGCUAAGGUCCCAAAGUCAUGGUUAAGUGGGAAACGAUGUGGGAAGGCCCAGACAGCCAGGAUGUUGGCUUAGAAGCAGCCAUCAUUUAAAGAAAGCGUAAUAGCUCACUGGUCGAGUCGGCCUGCGCGGAAGAUGUAACGGGGCUAAACCAUGCACCGAAGCUGCGGCAGCGACGCUUAUGCGUUGUUGGGUAGGGGAGCGUUCUGUAAGCCUGCGAAGGUGUGCUGUGAGGCAUGCUGGAGGUAUCAGAAGUGCGAAUGCUGACAUAAGUAACGAUAAAGCGGGUGAAAAGCCCGCUCGCCGGAAGACCAAGGGUUCCUGUCCAACGUUAAUCGGGGCAGGGUGAGUCGACCCCUAAGGCGAGGCCGAAAGGCGUAGUCGAUGGGAAACAGGUUAAUAUUCCUGUACUUGGUGUUACUGCGAAGGGGGGACGGAGAAGGCUAUGUUGGCCGGGCGACGGUUGUCCCGGUUUAAGCGUGUAGGCUGGUUUUCCAGGCAAAUCCGGAAAAUCAAGGCUGAGGCGUGAUGACGAGGCACUACGGUGCUGAAGCAACAAAUGCCCUGCUUCCAGGAAAAGCCUCUAAGCAUCAGGUAACAUCAAAUCGUACCCCAAACCGACACAGGUGGUCAGGUAGAGAAUACCAAGGCGCUUGAGAGAACUCGGGUGAAGGAACUAGGCAAAAUGGUGCCGUAACUUCGGGAGAAGGCACGCUGAUAUGUAGGUGAAGUCCCUCGCGGAUGGAGCUGAAAUCAGUCGAAGAUACCAGCUGGCUGCAACUGUUUAUUAAAAACACAGCACUGUGCAAACACGAAAGUGGACGUAUACGGUGUGACGCCUGCCCGGUGCCGGAAGGUUAAUUGAUGGGGUCAGCGCAAGCGAAGCUCUUGAUCGAAGCCCCGGUAAACGGCGGCCGUAACUAUAACGGUCCUAAGGUAGCGAAAUUCCUUGUCGGGUAAGUUCCGACCUGCACGAAUGGCGUAAUGAUGGCCAGGCUGUCUCCACCCGAGACUCAGUGAAAUUGAACUCGCUGUGAAGAUGCAGUGUACCCGCGGCAAGACGGAAAGACCCCGUGAACCUUUACUAUAGCUUGACACUGAACAUUGAGCCUUGAUGUGUAGGAUAGGUGGGAGGCUUUGAAGUGUGGACGCCAGUCUGCAUGGAGCCGACCUUGAAAUACCACCCUUUAAUGUUUGAUGUUCUAACGUUGACCCGUAAUCCGGGUUGCGGACAGUGUCUGGUGGGUAGUUUGACUGGGGCGGUCUCCUCCUAAAGAGUAACGGAGGAGCACGAAGGUUGGCUAAUCCUGGUCGGACAUCAGGAGGUUAGUGCAAUGGCAUAAGCCAGCUUGACUGCGAGCGUGACGGCGCGAGCAGGUGCGAAAGCAGGUCAUAGUGAUCCGGUGGUUCUGAAUGGAAGGGCCAUCGCUCAACGGAUAAAAGGUACUCCGGGGAUAACAGGCUGAUACCGCCCAAGAGUUCAUAUCGACGGCGGUGUUUGGCACCUCGAUGUCGGCUCAUCACAUCCUGGGGCUGAAGUAGGUCCCAAGGGUAUGGCUGUUCGCCAUUUAAAGUGGUACGCGAGCUGGGUUUAGAACGUCGUGAGACAGUUCGGUCCCUAUCUGCCGUGGGCGCUGGAGAACUGAGGGGGGCUGCUCCUAGUACGAGAGGACCGGAGUGGACGCAUCACUGGUGUUCGGGUUGUCAUGCCAAUGGCACUGCCCGGUAGCUAAAUGCGGAAGAGAUAAGUGCUGAAAGCAUCUAAGCACGAAACUUGCCCCGAGAUGAGUUCUCCCUGACUCCUUGAGAGUCCUGAAGGAACGUUGAAGACGACGACGUUGAUAGGCCGGGUGUGUAAGCGCAGCGAUGCGUUGAGCUAACCGGUACUAAUGAACCGUGAGGCUUAACCUU